AAGAGAGUCACGAAGAGGGAGAAAGGAGCUCAGGGAGAGAGAGAGAAAAAGAGCAGGAGGGAACAGACCAGAUCGGCGGUGAGGAAGGUUUAUUACGUACAAUGUGUUGUACGAUAGAGAGGCCCAUAACCAGAAGGCUAGAGAGAGAGAAUGCAUAACGGUGCGUGCAGAAAAGAAAGAGACAGCGACAUUGGCCAGGCAUGGUUCCAUGCAUCCACACUUUUCUCCAAUGUGAUUCUGCCAUAUUCGAGCCAGAUUUGCGUGUGCUGCUCAUUUUGUGAUGAUUUCUAGCCAAAGCAUGGCAACGCGUGGGUGGUUUUGGUG
rnacentral:lncRNA from 1 species